rfam:Rhodopirellula maiorica SM1 cSM10782, whole genome shotgun sequence.
UGAAUCCUGCCUGAGUAACCGCUAGCCACGGGCUCAGUAUCGAGUUUUGCUGCGUUGAUAUAAGACGCAAGUCGAAGUUCAACGUUGAUGCGUAAAUACGAAAGGUAGUGAGGGUGAGAGGGAUCGGCUGGCUGCCGAACCCUGAACGAGAUUGAGCUCCGAAAUCAUGGUUUCCUGUUGGAUACUGCCCACGGUGUGUGCACGCCCGAAGGUGAAACCCGCAGUCGCGUCUUUGCGAGCGACAUCGAGAGUCCCGGGGUCGAAGAUCC